UCCAGCUCCUACAUUCCUUGGCUCAUGACUCCUCCCUCCAUCUUCAGAGGCAAAAAGAGAAUCAAAAUAAAUAAAAUAAAUAUCCAACAACAAGAAGUUCAAUUAGUAGCUAGAAGGAAGAGUCUCAGACAAGAGGAAAGAGCCAACCAUAAUUUCACUUCUGAAAACGGGUGACAUCAAACCAAGUAUGAAAGAGGAUCCCUAAGUCUUAUGGCAUAAAAAUCUUCUAGCCAAGAAACCACUGAAUUUCUUUGGAGUAGCAUGUAUUCCUGGAAAUGAAGCACCACCCUGAACAGCAUGGAAGGAAUUAAUGGACCUGUUUUAUAAACCAUCAGGGAAAGGAGACUAAGGCAAAUGUGUUCUGGCUUGUAAAGAUUUCAUCAGUAAUUUGCAUCAUAACACUUGUCUUCACACCUCACUGGCCAAAGCAAGUCACAUGAUAUGAGAAAAAGGGAAGGUCCUCCAACCAUGUGCCUGAAGGAAAGUCAGACAAUGUAUUUCAAAAAUAUAAAUGAUAACCUCAA